AGCUUAAGAGCGUAUGGAAAAAAAAUCUAAAGAAAAAAGAAAAGACACUUAAUCUAAGCAAUUUUAGAUUGUUGUUACUAGAUACUUUCAUUUGUGGUCGUUCCAUUGCACUGUAAUCAAGGAAAAAUCUUUUCUUGCUGCUACUACAUUGCCACCUAAUCUAAAAUCCUUAGAUAUUGGCUACAAUUGUUUAAGCAAAUAGAUAAAAUACUAAAGAAGAUAAUGUAUGAUUUGAUAAAAUAUAUCUAAUGUAGUGUGAUAUUUGGCAAUAUCUAUAGAGAGACGUAGCACAAAUUUAAGUUUCAUCAAAUGUGGCCACAUCACAUAGUUCAACAAUUACAAUAGCCUGCCAUUGAUGGCAAUCAAUAGAAAGAAAAAAAAAAUUAAUUCAUCUUUGGACC
rnacentral:lncRNA from 1 species